GUUGAGUCAUGCUGUUCUAAGUGAACUAAAGUUUGUUUUGGAGAAAUUUGUCCACGGUAUUGUUUGUCUUUUAAUUUCUCAUAUCAUGGUUUUCCAUUUGGGCUGAUGAUAGAGCUGACAAUCUGGAGACAGUUAGAGAAUAAACUUAUAGCACUUGCAAUUUGAGCAAAGAAAAUAAAAAUAAUCACUUUCUUUAUGCCAGGUUUCUGAUCUUGCUAUGGCAACAGGAAAGUUCAAAGGCUGGUUAGUUAAGAUCCGAGUGACACAGAGUACUACUGGAAGAACAGGAAGUUUGUAAGUUUAAGUGUUCAAGGCCAGGUUGGAUGGAGCUUCAAGCAAGAGCCCUGUCCAUGCCCGUGACAGAAAGAUGGGAUUAGAUGAUUUUCAAAUCUCCUUUCCAACCAAUCCGUUCUAUGACGUCUAGAGGAGGACAAAAAGAAGUACAUACCUUUCUGCCUUUCACUUUUGGAAUCAAAACUUUGGGACCUGAUCCAUGGAAUUGCCAUAGUAGAAUUCAAUAUGGAAGGAAAAGAAACCUUAUUCAGGUUAAGAAAGGGAUUGCUCCUGAUGGAUCUGUUCCAGAGCUGCCCCCUUCAGCUGCUGGAGCCCCAGACCCAUGGCAGCUCCCCAGCUUCCAGGCUUCUGAGAGAACCAGGGGAAAAUACCAAUGUCCCAGAAACAGAUUUCAAUCUGCCUGAGCAGCAAAUUCCUAACAGAAAAUGUUUUGUCAAAACUUUUCUAGUCUCUUCUAUUUGUAAUUAAAGGCUUAUGUUUUACUAUAAAAGAGAUUAUUGUGCUGUGUGUAGCAUGUUUCUGGGUACCAGUGCUGUUGUUUGGGUACUAGGGGUGGUAGGAUGUUGGUGCUGAUCCUCUCCAUCCCAACUUUGAACCAUAAAAUACCAAAGAAAUUUCCCCUUGCUUUAGAAUUCCUUCCCAUAGCUGAAAUGAAGGUCAAAAUUACUUAUAACACCUUCGACACUGGCAUAGGAUUUUGAGAAGGAAUCACAUCAUAAAAGGUAUCAGUCUGUUGCAGGAGCAGUAAUGGCCUGGACCAGGCCAGGCAGGUAGCACCUGAAACUUGGUCAUGCAGAGGACUUUGUGUAAUAAAUGGCAAGAAUUUCUCUCUUGUAGUGGUGAA
rnacentral:lncRNA from 1 species